GGAAAGAUUUAUCGCCGAUAGAUCGGCCCGCGUCUGAUUAGCUAGUUGGUGAGGUAAUGGCUCACCAAGGCGACGAUCAGUAGCUGGUCUGAGAGGAUGAUCAGCCACACUGGGACUGAGACACGGCCCAGACUCCUACGGGAGGCAGCAGUGGGGAAUAUUGGACAAUGGGCGAAAGCCUGAUCCAGCCAUGCCGCGUGUGUGAUGAAGGCCUUAGGGUUGUAAAGCACUUUUGUCCGGGAAGAUAAUGACUGUACCGGAAGAAUAAGCCCCGGCUAACUUCGUGCCAGCAGCCGCGGUAAUACGAAGGGGGCUAGCGUUGCUCGGAAUCACUGGGCGUAAAGGGCGCGUAGGCGGACUCUUAAGUCGGGGGUGAAAGCCCAGGGCUCAACCCUGGAAUUGCCUUCGAUACUGAGAGUCUUGAGUUCGGAAGAGGUUGGUGGAACUGCGAGUGUAGAGGUGAAAUUCGUAGAUAUUCGCAAGAACACCAGUGGCGAAGGCGGCCAACUGGUCCGAUACUGACGCUGAGGCGCGAAAGCGUG
rnacentral:rRNA from 1 species